CAAGGCUCCACCGACUCCCCCGCUCCAGUUCCUGAAAAAAAAAAAUGUCAGAAAUUCCAGCUGUAAACAAAAGCGUAUAAAAUAGAAUUGGCGCCCGCUGACAAUAUCCAUAUCCGACAGCCGAAGACAAAAUUAUUUACAAUAACAGCCAGGCAUAAGUCGUGGCGAUUUCGAUUUGCAUUUUAUUCGGAGCGUUGGCGUUUACGGCCACAAGGACACUUUCCACUUGCUAAUCUAAGCAUAGGAAAAGUACGGCGGAAAACAGGAGCGUGGUGGCACAUAAAAUUAUGGAAAUGCCCAAAACGUAAAAGUUGUCACUGGCAGGCAAAGCCACAGAAAUGAGUUAGCACGUUUUUCGGAAUUAAAAACGCUGCUAAGGCAAACAACACAAAAGGCAAAUAGAAGCUCGACGGGCAGCAAAGAAAAGCGUCUAAACAAGAAGAGGAAUAAGGAAACAAAAUACGACAGUAAAUUUCGCAGUUGAUGGAAGCAGCGUGCUGACCCACGUUGCCCAAAUUUACUUUAAUGCGGAUG
ensembl:ncRNA lncRNA:CR45426 long non-coding RNA:CR45426